UCCUUUGACGUUAGCGGCGGACGGGUGAGUAACACGUGGGUAACCUACCUAUAAGACUGGAAUAACUCCGGGAAACCGGGGCUAAUGCCGGAUAACAUGUUGAACCGCAUGGUUCUACAGUGAAAGACGGUCUUGCUGUCACUUAUAGAUGGACCCGCGCCGUAUUAGCUAGUUGGUGGGGUAACGGCCUACCAAGGCGACGAUACGUAGCCGACCUGAGAGGGUGAUCGGCCACACUGGAACUGAGACACGGUCCAGACUCCUACGGGAGGCAGCAGUAGGGAAUCUUCCGCAAUGGGCGAAAGCCUGACGGAGCAACGCCGCGUGAGUGAUGAAGGUCUUCGGAUCGUAAAGCUCUGUUGUUAGGGAAGAACAAAUGUGUAAGUAACUGUGCACAUCUUGACGGUACCUAACCAGAAAGCCACGGCUAACUACGUGCCAGCAGCCGCGGGUAAUUACGUUAGGUGGCAARCGUUAUCCGGAAUUAUUGGGCGUAAAGCGCGCGUAGGGCGGUUUUUUAAGUCUGAUGUUGAAAGCCCACGGCUCAACCCGUGGAGGGUCAUURGAAACCUGRAAAACUUGAGUGCAGAWGAGGAAAAGUGGAAUUCCAUGUGUAGCGGUGAAAUGCGCAGAGAUAUGGAGGAACACCAGUGGCGAAGGCGGCUUUUCUGGUCUGCAACUGACGCUGAUGUGCGAAAGCGUGGGGAUCAAACAGGAUUAGAUACCCUGGUAGUCCACGCCGUAAACGAUGAGUGCUAAGUGUUAGGGGGUUUCCGCCCCUUAGUGCUGCAGCUAACGCAUUAAGCACUCCGCCUGGGGAGUACGGUCGCAAGACUGAAACUCAAAGGAAUUGACGGGGACCCGCACAAGCGGUGGAGCAUGUGGUUUAAUUCGAAGCAACGCGAAGAACCUUACCAAAUCUUGACAUCCUUUGACCGCUCUAGAGAUAGAGUUUUCCUCUUCGGAGGACAAAGUGACAGGUGGUGCAUGGUUGUCGUCAGCUCGUGUCGUGAGAUGUUGGGUUAAGUCCCGCAACGAGCGCAACCCUUGAACUUAGUUGCCAUCAUUCAGUUGGGCACUCUAAGUUGACUGCCGGUGACAAACCGGAGGAAGGUGGGGAUGACGUCAAAUCAUCAUGCCCCUUAUGAUUUGGGCUACACACGUGCUACAAUGGACAAUACAAAGGGCAGCGAAACCGCGAGGUCAAGCAAAUCCCAUAAAGUUGUUCUCAGUUCGGAUUGUAGUCUGCAACUCGACUACAUGAAGCUGGAAUCGCUAGUAAUCGUAGAUCAGCAUGCUACGGUGAAUACGUUCCCGGGUCUUGUACACACCGCCCGUCACACCACGAGAGUUUGUAACACCCGAA
rnacentral:rRNA from 1 species